rnacentral:rRNA from 1 species
UACGUAGGGUGCGAGCGUUGUCCGGAAUUAUUGGGCGUAAAGGGCUCGUAGGCGGUUUGUCGCGUCGGGAGUGAAAUCCACUGGCUUAACUGGUGGCUUGCUUUCGAUACGGGCAGACUGGAGGUAUGCAGGGGAGAACGGAAUUCCUGGUGUAGCGGUGAAAUGCGCAGAUAUCAGGAGGAACACCGGUGGCGAAGGCGGUUCUCUGGGCAUGUCCUGACGCUGAGGAGCGAAAGCAUGGGUAGCGAACAGG